GUCCCUCAGAUUCUGACUUCUCAGUAUCUUCAUUAAGUUCAGCCACAGAAUCACCUUCUUGGAGGAUGUCUGCUGCUCCCACUGCUCCCUUCACCAUGAAAGGACUGGGGAUACUGCCUGGUGUCAACCACGGGCGUCUAAGACAUCCCUCAGCAGUGGCUCGAUCUUCAGGUUUCUUAAGUAAAAGAGAGGACAUAGCGCGGGGAGCGCAGGCCCCUGGGGCCUUGCUGGAGAGUCAGGCCCUGCCCAACUGCAGCUGCAGCUUGGGCACUGAGGACGUCUGUGGGACCAGGACUGAAGUCACGGGGGUGAUGCACCGGGCGCUACUCGGGCAGUCUGCAGAAGGAGUAGCCCAGCUGACCUGCUCUGUUCUGCUUCGUAAGUCCUGGGGACUCACGGUGGGUGGUGGCAUUCAGAGAGUCUACAUUCAAACCUGGACAUUUCUAGUGACUUGGGUCACGUGCUUUGAGCCCUCCAACUCUCCAGACCUCAUGUGAGCCUCCGGGGACUGCACACCUGAGGUUCCCACACCAACUCUGACAGCGCCGAGCCCGCGCACACAGUAACGCUUAGCCAGGAUGCAGAACUCACUUUCUCCACAGAGCGUGAUUUGGGCCUUCAGCUGUUCGAUAUCACAGGAGAACCGGGCCGCCUUCCCCAGCUCUUCAUCAUAUUUCCGCUCGCUGACAAAGUGCUGAGGUAGAGAAGGAAAGCGGGCCACACAAUGGAGACGCGCCCGAGCCCGCUGCAGCCUCGCCUGCUCUGCUGCUGGUGCCCGGGGAUGUCGCAGACUGGGGUCCUGAGACAGUCUCCCUGGAAUACGUGUGGGACUUGUCUUUCUCCUGCUCAGGCUUGGACAAAACUGGGAUGCAGCAAAAAAAGCUGCGUCUGGACUUGUCCCUAACCGCUCAGCGUCCCUUGCAGGCGCAGAGUUUGAGCUGCGUCUCGGCAGGGUUUCUUGGUGGGGCCCAGAGCCUGCUAAGUGAUUAACCGCCGAGAGGAAGCACGGCACCCUUCCUAGGCACUCAUCUCUAUUUUAACAGGAAAGCAGCAAGCCCAGAAAACCUUCAGUGUCUGCACCUCAGCAUCUACGGUGGGGUUUCAAGUGCUGCUACAGGAGGUGGGAUAGAUUAUUUUUCAUUCAUUUAAAAUUCAGUUUAAAAUUAAGAUCCAUGUGUAGACAGAGUGAGAAUGCAGAAAUAACUACGACUCAGUCCCUCCUUGAUUACCACAUAGCAAGGGGGAGAGCCAGCACUGAAUACAAGAACGUGGUUGAUGCUUUGGGAGUGAAAAAGAGGAAGAAAUGAUCUCCUCCCGAGGGACUAUUAUGUGAAAUGUUAUGUGAGGGGAAGCAUUUGAGCUGGAACAUUAAAGAUUACUGAACACUGUC